CCUGGUUGAAGAUAAUCCUUGGCUUUGUCCGGUGACCAUGGGUGUGAUUCAGGACCCGGAGCCCAUAGGGCCUCAGUUCGCUCUCCAGUAAGGGGAGGUAAAGCCCCAGAUGCCCUGACAUCU